rnacentral:rRNA from 1 species
GACGAACGCUGGCGGCGUGCUUAACACAUGCAAGUCGAACGGAAAGGCCCUGCUUGCAGGGUGCUCGAGUGGCGAACGGGUGAGUAACACGUGGGUGAUCUGCCCCUUACUUUGGGAUAAGCCUGGGAAACUGGGUCUAAUACUGGAUAGGACCAUGCUGUAGGUGGUGUGGUGGAAAGAUUAGUUUCGGUAAGGGACGAGCUCGCGGCCUAUCAGCUUGUUGGUGGGGUAAUGGCCUACCAAGGCGUCGACGGGUAGCCGGCCUGAGAGGGUGGACGGCCACAUUGGGACGGAGAUACGGCCCAGACUCCUACGGGAGGCAGCAGUGGGGAAUAUUGCACAAUGGGCGCAAGCCUGAUGCAGCGACGCCGCGUGGGGGAUGACGGCCUUCGGGUUGUAAACUCCUUUCAGCCAUGACGAAGCCCUUGUGGUGACGGUAGUGGUAGAAGAAGCACCGGCUAACUACGU